CCGGCACGGGUGGAGUAACACGUAUGCAAUCCACCUGUAACAGGGGGAGUAACCCGGAGAAAUCCGGACUAAUACCCCAUAAUAUGGGCGCUCCGCAUGGAGAGCCCAUUAAAGAGAGCAAUUUUGGUUACAGACGAGCAUGCGCUCCAUUAGCCAGUUGGCGGGGUAACGGCCCACCAAAGCGACGAUGGAUAGGGGUUCUGAGAGGAAGGUCCCCCACAUUGGAACUGAGACACGGUCCAA
rnacentral:rRNA from 1 species